CUUGAACGCUGGCGGCAGGCCUAACACAUGCAAGUCGAACGAGGGGCGGACGGGUGAGUAAUGUCUGGGAAACUGCCUGAUGGAGGGGGAUAACUACUGGAAACGGUAGCUAAUACCGCAUACCAUCAGAUGUGCCCAGCUGGGAUUAGCGUGUUGGUGGGGUAACGGUUCACCAAGGGGACGAUCCCUAGCUGGUGUGUGUGGAUGACCAGCUACACGGGAACUGAGACACGGUCCAGACUCGUACGGGAGGCAGCAGUGGGGAAUAUGGCACAUAGGGCGCAAGCCUGGUGAAGCCAUGCCGCGUGUAUGACGAGGGCGUUCGGGUUGUAAAGUACUUACAGCGGGGAGGCGUUACCCGCAGAAGAAGCACCGGCUAACUCCGUGCCAGCAGCCGCGGUAAUAC
rnacentral:rRNA from 1 species